rnacentral:tRNA from 12 species
GUGCAGGGUGAAGGCUUCAAAACCGGUGCAGGCAUCC